GGUAAAUAUACAUAACGGGUUGAGUUGAGAGGGAUUACGAGUCGAGGUAAAGCGUUCCCAGUGGAGCGUGAGGCGGCGCCAUGUGGAGGUGCAUUCGCUCUCCAAGUCGCUUCAUCUGAAGGUGGCGCCGUGGUCUUGAAGGCUCCCGCCUCCCCGGUAACCGAGGGCGACAAAGUGGUCUUGAGUUGUCAGUCCUGGACAGGAAGUCACAGCAAAACGACCUUCUUCAAAGACGGAGCCGAGGUCGCCGCUAACGGCUCCUCCCCUUCAGACGGAGGGGCGAAUAUGACGAUUGAGAAUGUGACGCGGGGCGACGAAGGCUACUACAGGUGUGCGUCCGGCGAGAUGCAGAGUCCAGAGACCUGGUUGUCGGUGAGACCGGAUCCAGGUGAGAUGUCUGGCUUCAUCAGCAUUCACCGCCGUGCUUUGUGAGACCAGUGAGAGAUGUCAAUUGUUGUCUUUUAGGCUUAAACUUCACAUCAACAGACGGGGAAGCAGCCUCCACGACUGGUAACAUUAUUUUGGUUGUAUGGAAGUCUAUGCUUCAUGUGCUAAAGCUGCAUUCUUUCUCCUGACCCCCAGGGGGCGACUCCUCUGGUUGUAUAGAAGUAUAUGCUUCA